AUAGAAUAAAACUGUUUUAAAUCACGUUGUCAGAGAAAUCUGGCAAAAAAGGAAAUAAACAUUUUAAAUGCAAAUAUCAUGUUUCCUUCAGUUGUUACGAACUUCAUUUACAAAGAUCAUAAAAAAAAUGAACGUACAAAAAACAAAUAUGAAAUGUCAUCAUGAUUUGUAAGUAUUUUACAGUACGGACCAUGCGUGAGGGGAUCACAAAGUGGAAUUCAACAUUCAAUGCAGCUUGAGUAUUAAGGACAUACGUGAAAGACAUAGAACACAGUUUAAUAUAAACUGCUGCCCUGCAUAAUAAAAAAUAUCUUAUAAUUUAUAAUCUCACAUAAAUCUUAGUGUCUCAAACCAAACACACACUAAUUCGUAUUGAGUUACUUUCUCAAUGCACAGAAAACUUCUGGUUUACACAUCUCGAGUUCUCAGACUUUUCUUUUCUCUCUCUCUCUCUCUCUCUCUCUCUCUCUCUCUUUCU